UUUCCAAACGACAGGUUUAACAGAUGAUAAAACUUGUCUUGUGGUUACCCUGGGCUGCCAAGAGCCCCAGGCAGAGUACAGGGGUGGGGCCGUCCACGGCGGACAGUCAACGCCACCUGAAUGCCAGCAUUCUUUGCUAAGCGCUCCCUCUGAAGGCUUCUCUUGGGCCCCGUGCCAAGCACUCGGGACCCAGACAAAUAGCCUGGGUGGGUGUUUGUGCACAAAGAUGGUUGAGGUUUGCUGGAGCCCAAUGGAGAAAUCCUUUGAAAUUGUGCUCCGGGGGAGAGAGGGCAGCUAAGAUCACAGGGAACUAUUUGUUCAAAAGCCCAAGGAGAGGACCCACUCACAACCAAAACCCCAAAUGGCCACAAGGACGCAGGCCUCCUCAGCGCUGGGGAGCUGCGUCCUGCCUUUUCCAGAGAGUAGGAUGGAUGCUUCUGGAAUGAUGCCUCUGACAGCAGCCGCAGUGUACCGACUGGCUCCUUCGUGCUCAGUGUUUUAUAUGCUGUCUUUUUAAUAUUUACUGCCCACUUUGCAGAUGAGGAAACUGAGUCACAGAUGAAGUAAAUGCUCUAACCUCAGCUCCAUCUAACCUGGAAGCGAAUGUUUCUCCACCGCCGUGUUCUGACUCAGAGCCUGACUCAAAGCACGUGUCUUCAUUGUUAAAAGGACUGAAUCAGCCUCGGGGAGGGAAGGGCAAGAGAACACGCUCUAGGAUUCGGGGCUCUUUGUCGGUUGGUGUCUGUCUGACGGCCCCACCCUGGGGGCCGCGUGGGGAGCGGCUGUGCUGUGAGAUCGAAGGGCACCCCACAUGUCCUCGAGACCACAACCAGCGCCAGAAACUCAUUUUGUUUCCUGGCCAAGAGCCUGGGUGGUCAUUGUACCCCAUUCUGACCUCAGGAAAGAGUGAGCAGAGCGAAGGAGGGCCCCGUUGGAGGCCAAGUGCUGUUCUCAAGAUCUGUGAUCUGCUCUCUCUCUUCAUUAUUGUCCCCACCCAGGGGUGAGGUAGCUGUCGUCAUCUCCAGGUUACAGGGGACCCACAGGGGCCAGGAGCCCAGUCUGAUCUAACGUGACACAGCUGAAACAAAGCCCUAAAAUCACUGGAGAAAAUAUCUUCUUGGCGUUUCUCCAGUUUGCAGUGUAAGAACCGCCACCUUUCCAAGGGUUUUCCUGGGCUGUGGACACUGCGUACAGGAGCAUCCACUCCAAGGGCCCACAAGGUAGGCGCCAUUGGCCCACCUUAUGCACAGGUGAGCUGGGGUCGGGAGUGGGAGCCCUGGCCUGGGACCUGGCAGGGCACUUGGCUGGGAAACGGACUCGAUGGCUUUGCCACUCCCGUCCCUCCCUUUGGAGACCAAGCGAGGAGGACCUGAGGGUGCCUCACGGCAAGCAGGUUUCUCCGCCUCAGCGCUGUGGACAUUUGGGGGCCAAUAAUGCUUGGCGUGAGGGGCUGUCCCAGGCAGUGGGGGGCAUUGAGCCACGUCCCUGGCCUCCAUUCCCUGGAUGCCAGUGGCAAACUCCCUACCUCCUGACCAAACAGUAGUGACGACAAAAAUGUCUCUACACGCUGCCAGAUGUCCCCCGAGGGGAGCAAAAUCUCCCCCCAAGCUGAGAACCACUGCCUGUCAGUCUUCUGUUUCCCUGAAAGAAAGGCUGUGAUGUUUUUCUCAAGGGCAUUGAGAAAUUCAGCAGAGAUCGUGCCCAGAAAGCACAUGGUACACAGAGCACGGUGCAACGAACGCUGGCCAGAUGUGGCGGGAUGAUUACUUUCAUCAUCAUCAUCAUCAUCAUCACCAUCAUCAGGGACUGGCCUGUUGUCGGUGGGAAAACAUCACCAGGAGCUGGUGACAGAGCCCUAGAGGCUGGGCAGUGGGUGCUCACAGGCCCAGUUCCAUGGCUGACUCACGAGACGCUUUGAACAAGUCUGUGGACCAUUGGGGAACUCAGUGCUUCCAUCACUAAAAUGGGCCGUCCAAAGGAAGCAGCCCUCAGGACCAUUUCACACCUACUGUUUUCAGAUUUCCUGGAUCCCAAGUUCUGGGACGAGUGGUCUUACACAGCACUGAAGCUCGUGGGCGCCGGGCUCCGUCCACCUGGGUUCAGACCGUGGCCUGAGAGCUUACCGGCUGGACAAGCUCAAGUAGGUCACUUGGUCUCUCCAUGAGUCUGUCUCCUCAUCUGCAGAACUCUGGGAUCCUCUCUGCCGCGUGUGCUUGUCACAGCAUGAACUGAGAUGACGUUAUAGUGCAAACACUAGAACACUGCCUGGCACUGCGAAUGGCCCCAUCAGGAUUCGUUAUCAUCAUCAGACACACGCUGGCAAUGUUUAAAGACGCAUGACCCUCAGCCCAGAUCACAGGCCCACGGAAUCAGAGCUUCCGAGACUGAAACCAUGUGGGCGUAUUUUUUUAAAUCUUCCCCCAAAUAAUUCUGAAGUAGUGGGUCCUUGGCCUGGCCUUUAGGAACCACUAUAAGUGAGAUGAAAUUCUCUGAUGUUAGGAAUGUUCUACUAAUGUUUCCAGUGCUGCUUUCCGUGAGGACCUGAGUGGUACAAAGAUGUAAAAGGUACUGUCUCUCUUCAAGGAGCCGCCAUCUAAACGGGUGAGACCAGCUCAUAAACCAAAUACGUAGCCCCAGUGGCCUCCGUGGCAGGGGCCACAAAGAAGUUUGGGAUGUGUGCUGAGAGAUGACAGAGGAAAGAAGCUGACCCGCAGGCCCACCAAGUAAGGUUGCGGAGGUUGUUGACAGCACAAAAGUGCCCAAAGGGGUGAGAUUUUCUGAUUCACAUAAAAGUGCCAUAGGGCCAGUGGAAGGCCUGGAGGUCAUCGUUCACCCAGGAUUCCCUAGAAGCUCUGACUUAUCCAUAAGUGCCAGCUCAGCUGUCCCUUUCUCUGGAGAGCCUUCUCCAAGACCCUACAAUGGAAUUGACCACUGUGGAUGAAUAAUUAGAUAAAUAAACAAAUGAAUUCCAACUAAGUAAAAGGGAGUUAGCGAGCAUCGGUGGACAGACACUGCGCCGCCCAUCAAGAGCACGGGGUACUCGCUAAGGCGCCUUCUUGAAGGAGGAGGAGAUGGUUCUUGAAGGAUGGACUUGGUCUUGCCAACGCGGUGCAGUGCACGUGAAGGGAGCAUUCUCCAGCAAUCUGAUGCACAGAAAAUGAGAUCAAAAAAGUGGAAGACACAGGGAGCCACUAAUGAAGAGCUCAAGAAAAGCGUGGUUUGAUGGCUGCCGAGGCAACACGCUCUUGGUUGGUAUGGAAUUACAACGUAAAUAUUUUCAUAGAAUCAACAGGAAAAUAAAAAGAUGCACGUUGGGGGAAAGUCAGUCCUUUGCUCUCUAGGGGGUGUGUCCUUGGUGACUCGGUUAUUCUGUCCACAGCUCCCCCUGGGCAUUGAGCAAAUGAAGGGCCAGAUACUCGGGUCCCACGUGCCUGGGAGACAGAGGAGCUCCAAGUGGCCAUGGGGACCUGAAUGCACAGAUUCACAGACCCAGCAGCCAAGCGCCCUUUGACCACAGCCUCCAAGAACUCGCUCCUGGCAGGACCCCGCAAGGGUGACAUGAGUUGCCCCUGACUUGGGCACACGAUGAUGGUACAUAAGGCUCAAGACCAGUUCAAUGCACCCGGCACCCUGAACAGCAACUUCACACCCAGCCUCGUUCUGGGGGCUACGGGAAAUGGGGACAACAGAUUUGCCCCUGGCCAAGCGGGACUCCCACUGCAGUGAGGGGAGGGGAGUAAUAUACAGAAGCUGCCAGCUCUCACGUGGACCCUCUCUGUGCCCUGCACCUCCCCUGCCUGUUUCUAAGGCUCAUCCCAGAUGCUCGCCCCAGAGACAGCUUCAGGGUUAGGAGCACCAAUGCUGCAGCUAGGCUGCCUGAGAGGGAAGCCCUGCUCUGCCAAGGCCAGCUGUGUGAGCCUGGGCAAGUGACACUGCCUCUCUGUGCCUUGGUCUCCCCAUCUGGAAAAGGCACACGGUGACAGUACCUUCCUCAUAGGUGAUGUGGGGAACCUUGGUCUGUAAGCUCUUAGAACGGGGUGUGCCCCCCAGCAAGCGCCAGACGAGGCUUUUUAUUAAUACAAGUUCAGAGGCAGUUGAGAUAGGACUGUCUGACUUCAAGUCACACAAUCUUCCCUCCCACCCUCACUGCCGGAUGUCUGCAGAUCACUCUGGAACAAGACCCUUGGAAGGGGGAAAACAGAGUCAAAUAGGACUCUUGGGGGCCUGGUGUCUGGGAGGGAGAGGUGGAGGAACAGGAGUGCUGGAAGUCCAUGGCUAUGGGUCCAUAUCCUGCCUCUGCCCCUCCCUGAGGAUCCCACCCUCCCGCCCGAGCCUCUGUACUCUGCGCCUCCGGCACUUUGCCUGUAAGACGGGGCGCGCUUCCACCCGCUCCUGGAGAAGUUUCCAUCAGCAAUAGUCAUGCAUCAGAUAAGGCUCCAGAACUGUGUUAUUAACCCAGCACCACGAGGCCACGAGAGCGUGUGGGGAGGGUUACGUGAGAGAAUAAACGUGUGUCUUCUGCCCGUGGCGGGCAUCGCCCGGCGGGUACGAGCUGAGGCUCUCAGCUGUGAAGGACUCAAAGUGGAGCGAGCCAGGACAGCUCCCUGGGGAAGCAGGGGUUUCAGAUGACGUGGAAAGAAGACAGACGGGACUUUGGACAGUCAGGGCUGAGGGACAGGGUCCUUCCAAGCAGAGGGGGCAGCUUGGGCAAUGACCCAAUGCUUUAGAGCAUCCUCAGAUGGUCGUAUUACUAACAGAGCGCUCUGCACAUG